GAUGAACGCUGGCGGCGUGCCUAAUACAUGCAAGUCGAGCGAACAGACGAGGAGCUUGCUCCUCUGACGUUAGCGGCGGACGGGUGAGUAACACGUGGAUAACCUACCUAUAAGACUGGGAUAACUUCGGGAAACCGGAGCUAAUACCGGAUAAUAUAUUGAACCGCAUGGUUCAAUAGUGAAAGACGGUUUUGCUGUCACUUAUAGAUGGAUCCGCGCCGCAUUAGCUAGUUGGUAAGGUAACGGCUUACCAAGGCGACGAUGCGUAGCCGACGUGAGAGGGUGAUCGGCCACACUGGAACUGAGACACGGUCCAGACUCAUACGGGAGGCAGCAGUAGGGAAUCUUCCGCAAUGGGCGAAAGCCUGACGGAGCAACGCCGCGUGAGUGAUGAAGGUCUUCGGAUCGUAAAACUCUGUUAUUAGGGAAGAACAAAUGUGUAAGUAACUAUGCACGUCUUGACGGUACCUAAUCAGAAAGCCACGGCUAACUACGUG
rnacentral:rRNA from 1 species